rnacentral:misc_RNA from 1 species
GUUCGUGGUAUAGCCUCAAAAGCCAUAGCAGCAGCUUCAUAAGGCUACUGUUUUACAAUCAUAAAACAUAAACAUAAAUUAUAACAUUAAAAUAAUCAUGUCAAGAUACACAACUUUAUUUACCCACAAAUAAUUUUAAAAGAAUUAUUGACAGCUAAAAUCUUUAUUUAACAGUGAUCCUCGUUAUUGAAAAGAUCAUUCACCUUUUCUAGUCCUUCAAUUGCUGAACUCUUUUGCUUCAGAGUGGCAGAGACAGUUAACUCUGUAGCA